CAGUCGCCGCGGUAAUACCGAGGGUGCGAGCGUUAAUCGGAUUUACUGGGCGUAAAGCGUGCGUAGGCGGCUUUUUAAGUCGGAUGUGAAAUCCCUGAGCUUAACUUAGGAAUUGCAUUCGAUACUGGGAAGCUAGAGUAUGGGAGAGGAUGGUAGAAUUCCAGGUGUAGCGGUGAAAUGCGUAGAGAUCUGGAGGAAUACCGAUGGCGAAGGCAGCCAUCUGGCCUAAUACUGACGCUGAGGUACGAAAGCAUGGGGAGCAAACAGGAUUAGAGACCCCCGUAGUCCCUGUCUCUUAUAA
rnacentral:rRNA from 1 species